AUAAAAUAAAAAGAUUAAAAUAUUUCUAAUCAUGAUUAAUCUCAAUCUGUGAUAUUUCCUGAAAACUUGCAAUUAUUAUAAAAUCAUUUUAAAACCCUGUGUUACUUAAGUCAAUAUGGAAUAUGUGAUGGUAGAAUAUGAGUUUCUUAUUCUUGAUAUCAUUGCUACUUGGAGAAUUUAUUUCAAAAUAUUCAAAAUUCUAUCUACCAUCCUUAGUGUUUUAUAUGUCUGAUAAAACUGAAAAUAUUAAUUAUGAUUAUAAAAGCUAUCUACUCUGUAUUGAGUUUGUUCAAAAUGAGUUAGACCCUUGUUGAGAGAUUUAUCAAGCUCCUAAGAUCAAGACAUUUAUUCAGAAAGAUUCACUCUUCCGAAGUAUUAUUGCAUUAGAGGCAUGGGCUAUGCAAAAAUAAAGAUAUUUUCGAGGAAAUAAAAAGGAGCAAGUGCUCGACAACCUCGC
rnacentral:lncRNA from 1 species